UCGGGAAUUUUGGGCAAUGGGCGAAAGCCUGACCCAGCAACGCCGCGUGAAGGAUGAAGUAUUUCGGUAUGUAAACUUCGAAAGAAUAGGAAGAAUAAAUGACGGUACUAUUUAUAAGGUCCGGCUAACUACGUGCCAGCAGCCGCGGUAAUACGUAGGGACCAAGCGUUGUUCGGAUUUACUGGGCGUAAAGGGCGCGUAGGCGGCAAUUCAAGUCAUCUGUGAAAUCUCCGGGCUUAACUCGGAACGGUCAGAUGAUACUGCUUUGCUAGAGUGCAGAAGGGGCAAUCGGAAUUCUUGGUGUAGCGGUGAAAUGCGUAGAUAUCAAGAGGAACACCUGAGGCGAAGGCGGUUGCUGGGCUGAUACUGACGCUGAGGCGCGAAAGCUAGGGUAGCAAA
rnacentral:rRNA from 1 species